GUGAUCACUGACACUGAGAUGAUUUCAUUUAUUUUGAACGGUCUUGAUAUGGAUUACAAUCCUGUGGUGUCAUCUGUCAUGGGACGAGUUGACCCAUUAAUCUUAGUGAUCUAUAUGCCCAACUUGUGGCAUAUGAGU